rnacentral:sRNA from 1 species
UCCAUCAUCUACAACUUCUUUUAUGGAC